AAGAAAACUGAGAGAGAGAACUCAGAUUCAAUUUUCUUUCUCUCUUUUUGAUCUUCUGUUUUCUUGGGUAAUUUGAGAGAACUUGACUGUAAUUUGGCUUGAGUGAAAAAGUAAGAUUUUAAUAAAUGGAGUUACUGCUGCUUUUAGUAUGGGCUGGUCAUAAAGAACGGAGCAAGGGAAGUUGUUCAUCUGUUUUCAAUUUGAGAUUUUGUUUGAGGUAAUCAUUUUCAUACUCAACUGGAGAUGGCGAUUCAUAUGGACUGGUGGAAUCAGAUGUCACGCUGGAUGCGUGUUUGAUCAGCAAAGGGGCGGGAGUUUGAAGCUACAGACCUGCCAAAAUCAAGUGGUGUUUUUGUCGUUGAACUAUGGUGAUGGAUGGCGAGAAGAUAAAUUUUAGGCCAUGAGCUAUUUGUAUGAGAUGUCAUUUAGAUCUUCCACUAUAUGCCACCUGCCACAGGUAAGCAAAUGCCUUACUCUUCACUUAUUUAUUUUGGUCUAGCUUAUUAAUCUAUACGAUCUUCAUAGCAUGGAACAGAGUAAUGGUAAUUCUAAUUUAGAUGUGUAGAUGCAACGUUCUGAUGAUUAUAAUGAAGUUAUAUUAAAGCAUUAUAGUGAUCUGGUGUGCUUGUUCACUUUCUUAUAUGAUAUGUAUAAAUAUUUGAUCACCGUGACAUAGUGGCAGUUCAUUUUAUCUCCACUAAUUCACUUAGCAUCCUUACUUUACAUGUUUUCACGGUUACAUGGUAUAACACUUGUUUGAAAUAGCUUAAUGGUUCAAUAACCACUUUGUUGGUUUAGAAAUCAUAUAGCCGUACUUAUUGAAUCUUGUGGACAGUAAGAAUUUGUGAAGGUUACUUGGUUUGUCCUAUGGAAAUUGAAACUGACAUACGUGUCAGUGGUGGUGUCAGUUUGGUUUCGAGACUUGUAGGCUCUGUGCUAUCUUCAUCAGGGUUUUCUUAGAGGCUUGACAUCAUUUAGACUUACUGCAAGGUUUCGGUAUGGAGGGUACAUUUAAGGGACAUCGGAAGUUAACAUGCAAAGAUAAUUGUGCAUGAUGUUGGAUUGGUUAGCUUAAUAAAUGAGAUUUGGUAGCUUGGAUUUUCUUCAGUUUCCUCUUGAUUUAAGUACUUACAGACAUGAAGCCCACUUGAACCAUUUUUGGCCAUUCUCUUGGAAGCUUUAAUUUAUUGAAUAAUCGGUUUGAUAUGUCAUUUUGAUUGCAUUUGCCCUCCUAUCCGUUUUGGUGCAUCUCGUAAAAGAAAGUUUUGCAGUUUGCUGGCACUGAUGAUGUUUCUUUUUUUCUUGUGGAUAUGAAAAAACCAUUGGAGACCUUGCAAAGGUUUGCAUUUAAAUAUCCCACCUUCUUUAUUUAGGGAUUUGUCGAAAUGUAUACUGUAUUGUAAUGUGUUGAGCCCAAGAAUGCAUUGUAUGGCUAAACAUUCUAUAUGUUGCCAGAAAUGCUGACAGGAAGGUAAAAACGGGAGAGCUUAGCAUCUACUAAAAUGUUUGAUAGAAGUAUUGUGUGUGUGCACUAUAUAUAUAUACAUGUAUCUCGUUUAGUUCCAAACCAGAAAAAGAAUGCUACUCUAAUUUUGAAACCAUAUAAAACACAAGUCUACUUGGGACUGUUAGGUUAGGUACACAUUGUAUUCCUGUUGUUCUUUCUUGCACACUUAUACAGCACGUACCCUUUGGUUUUGGAAACAUUGGCUUGUUAUUGUAGUAUGCGAUUAGUUGUCUUCUUGCGUAUCAGUAGACAUUUGGAUGUGAAAUCAUUAUUUUAGAUUUAAAAUCACUAUUGGCCUGCUAGUUUGAUAGGUUUUGA